rnacentral:rRNA from 1 species
AUUGAACGCUGGCGGCAGGCCUAACACAUGCAAGUCGAACGAGUGGCGGACGGGUGAGUAAUGUUUGGGAAACUGCCUGAUGGAGGGGGAUAACUACUGGAAACGGUAGCUAAUACCGCAUACCAUCAGAUGUGCUCCGUUGGGUUUAGCUUGUUGGUGGGGUAACGUCUCACCAAGGCGACGAUCCCUAGCUGGUCUGAGAGGAUGACCGGCCACACAGGAACUGAGAAACGGUCCAGACUACUACGGCAGGCAGCAGUGGGGAAUAUUGCACAAUGGGGGCAAGCCUGAUGAAGCCAUGGCGCGUGUAUGAAGAAGGCCUACGGGUUGUAAAGUACUUUCAGCGGAGAGGCGUUACCCGCAGAAGAAGCACCGGCUAACUCCGUGCCAGCAGCAGCGGUAAUUC